AAAAGAAAAAGAAAAAGAAAAAGAAAAAAUCUGCUAUCCUCAAGACGACCAUUAAAACCAGUUUUCUUAAAUUGCAGAGCUUUUGUGCAAAAUCAUCAUGCUUUUAAAAUUCAGCUGACCAAUUUUCGAUUAUUAUUAUUAUUACUAUCAUUAUUGCCUGCUCGCUGAUUUCCAUGGCUUCUCUUGUGGAAAUUGAGAGGUACAAUCUGAUACCACACUCAGUGACUUGUCUAUGUGCUCGCCCCUGCCGUCCUUUAUCGAAGAAAACCCUAAUUCA
rnacentral:misc_RNA from 1 species